GGGAGGGGUUGGACGGGGAGAUAUGGAGUACAGAAAACAGGAGGAGAACUGGAAACACUAAAGAGAGCAGGAAAACAAUAGGAAGGUUCACACAGCAGCUUUUUCCGUAUCGAAACACAAUGGGGCCUUUGACAGCAAGACUGUGGGACAUCGGCUUUGAUGUUGAGUUCUAAUAAGUUGUGUAUGUCUGCGUCUAAAGACAAUGCUUGCAGGCGCUCAACCCAAGGAGAGAGAAACAGAAAAAAAGGGAGAGGGAGCUGUUAAACUGUAUUCAGUUGUGUAAACUGUAGCUAACACACAACAGGUGCUGUUUCACCCAAACCCCACCCUGCAGUAAGUGUCACACCAACCAGAAGUUACAGCACACAAACUGGAAGUGAUGUCACACCAAAUUUAAAUUGUAGAAAAGUACCCAACCCGAUGCAGGACUCUACAUUAAAGUCUAUGGUGUUUGUUAUUGCUUGAGUUAAACGGGAUUAACAGGGAAAUUUAAUUUACUCCAUGUUUGGUCCUUGCGAGGUAGAUAAUUAUAUUACCAGUAAACAACCCCCUCCUUUCCACCUUUGUUGUGACUGUUUUGCAAUCCAGAAGAAGAAACCCAUUAUGCUGAGGGAUUAUUUUUGCACUGGCUAUUUAUCUACCUCACAAGGACCAACAUGGAAUACAUUUGUUUGCCUUGUUUAUAGUACAAGAAGUAACAAAUAUAUCUAGAUUUUUGGUGAUUAAAACAAUAGAAAAAAUAUGUUAAGCACAAGCCCUAUUUGUUGACAUCAUGUUGGACAUGGGGGUGUACUGCCACUUCAAUGGCCAUAUAGGGUUUAAGCUUCAGUUAAGUUUGGUAAGCAUCCUUGGCAUACAAGGCACACGAUCUCCUGGAUUCAAACACCAUGUAAACCUGAUUCCACAUUCUCCCAGAAGCAUGAAGUUAAAACAAGGAUGAUGUAAAAAUCAUAGUCAGGGGCAAGUUUUGAGGUCAAAGCAAGUGGAAAUCAAACAGGCAGAAGUCAAAAACCAGGAAAACUUACAAUAACACUAAGGCAUGAGCAGUAUCUGAACAUAGAAACCAGCUUUGGCAAAGAACAAAGAGGAACAGACCCUUUAAAGCCUAAAGGAUGAUGCUCUGACAUAUGACCUUUUUCAAUUACUUUCCAUUAAUAUAUUUUUACAGCUUUUCCAAAAUCUAAGUUUAAAGUUGAAUGUCCCUAUCUCUAGUCUGGCAGCUCAAUAAUUCAGGCACAGGCUUUGAACUGUUACAAUUUUGCAACAUUUAGUUGACACAUUUCUCAGCAGUAAGCUGCCAGGAUCAGAAACCAUAACCAGCAUCUCCUAAAAAUAUUUGAUAUAUUGUUAAAUCAAUAUAGGGAGCUUUAUCAUUCUACACAUGUAAACAUUUAUAAAAAUGGAACACUUUACAUUGCUCUUUUGGCAUCUUCAAUUCUAUCUAAAAUUGCAUUUUUGUUUGUGGGAGGGGCAACUGGUGUGAAGAGUAAAAGAUAUUAUGUAAAACAGCUAGCUGACUUAAACAAGCAAACAAAGGUAAAAGUGUCAACAAAUUUGUUCAUAAUAAACACCUUUUAAUAGAUGGGGCUGGUAUGUGUCUUUAGUAGUAACACAUCUCACAAACAUCAUAUAGACAAAGGAAAUACACACUAAGGAUGGAUUUUGACUAAGAAUAGUUAAUGUCACGCUUUAAAAAACAUUAAUAUAUGUAAUAACAGUUCUAAGAUAUUUGACAUUACUAAGUUAUGCCAACAUAUUAUAUGGAAAGUUGAA